GUUUGGUUGCCAAGAAAGUCGCGGGCAAGGGAAAAGGUGGGAAAUUUGAGGUUUGCAUUUGCGGUCGUUGGGUUGUUUGUAAAAUGGGGGAUUGAAGAUAGUUGAGUCGACUACUUGUUUUUGUAGGAACUGAAAAAUCAGAGUUUAUCAUUAUUGUUACUUUGAUUUCACUUUAUCGGUAAGCAGCGGAGUGUUAUUGUUGCUCAGGUUUGUCCUUAAACCAUCUGAUUGGCUGCUGAGAAAGUUGUGGAGGGGGGAAGGUGCAAAUUUGAGAUUUUUCCUUGCUGGUUGUUGAUAAAAUGGGGAACUCAACUUAAUCGAGUUGACUCUGUUUGUAUGGAAACUGAAAAUAAAGAGCUUAUGAUUCGUUUUGUUUUACUUUCUUUUAGUUAUUUUCAUUGGUUUCUCAGUAACCAAACAUACCAUUAGUAUUGUGCAUUAAUUUUGCUUUAGGCGGGAAAAGCACUUUUUUGGGUUAACUUUGUUUUUUUAUAUGAGUUCUCUUAUUAAUUCUGAUGUGUUUCUAGCACUUAAAAUUUUCUUAUCCACUGUUUGGUAGUCGCUCCUUUUUUGGGUGCAUGCUAUUUCUAUGCCAUUUUUUUCCCAAAUUUUUUUCUCUAUUCUGGUGCUUAAACUUGAUUGAAUUCAAUGAUGCUUUGCUUGGAAGGAAUAAAUGGAAAUGAAACACAAUGAUUUUGAUAUCUGUGAAAGCAAGCUGAAUUAUGUAUUAACAAUCAUUUGGCUUCCAUGGGAACCACACAGUAGAAAAUUUGAAGUUCAAUCUCUUUUUUCCAAUGGAGUAAACUGUAUAUGGUCCUGAAAUUGUAUUUUAGAAAUCAUUUUUUUUUUGGUUUUAUGUAUUCAUACUUUGUUUUAUAUCAUAGUGAAAUUACUCAGAAAAUUCACGGUUUUGUCUCAAUUCUCCUAGAAAUAUCAAUGGUUGCAGUUGUAUUUUUAUUCAUGCCAUCAAGUUCUUUUGAAUCUAUGUCAAGUAGCAUCCACCCAUUUUUCAAGGGGUAAAACAUAUGACAUAACCCAUCUAAUUACUUUUAGCGUAAAGAUAAAAAAUAAAACGGAAAUUUUAUGCGAGUGGGCCCCAUGAUAACCGGAUUUACUCUUUUAACUUCUCUUGUAUAUACCGGCUUUUUAAAAUCUUCUCUCCCCCCUUACUCUUUAUUCUUAACUCUUUAUUUCCUUAUAAUUCACGCCUUAUUUUCCAUGCACGUGGAAUGUGUGUUUCUUUAGUACUAAGUAAAAGUUUCCUUUUGAACUGUAAUUAUCAAGAAUAAGUGGAUAAUUUUUAACUGAAUCUGGUCGGAGGACUUCUGUUUUUAGCCUAUGAUUUGGAAUGCUCCUUUUCUAAAACUAGGAUUUGCAUAGAAUAGAAAUGGGGUAUAUAUGAUUGUAAUAAUUGGAUUGUCUCAAUAAAAAAGAGGGUUUGAAAUCAUUUGCUAUUUGCUUAGUUGUCAAUUAAUAGUUGAUUCAUUUGGAGUUGUCAAUAAAAAAUAACUAAUUUUUUUCUUGAUAUCCCUUUUUCAUGCUGGAUAAUGGUGAUGCAGAGGACAGCUGCAGACCAGAUUUUGAGGGAGCUGCAAAACAAUCCAGAUAUGUGGCUUCAAGUAGUUCAUAUUCUACAAAGCACUCAGAAUCUAAACACCAAGUUCUUUGCCUUGCAGGUCAGUUUGUGUCCUUCUGCAUAAGUACCUAAUUAUUCCAUUUCUAGAUAGGUCAAAACCAUUCUAGCGUGGUGCUAAAAUGCAUUUGGAGGUUAGGGGGGGAUGAGUCUUAAAUUUAUCAUUGACCCCUCAACAAACAGAAAUUUUGUAAUCAGGUACUGGUUUGGGUUAACUUGCAUAGCUCAGAAGUCCUUAUUUUAGGUUUACUUCUGGGUGCUUCUGAGUGAGUCAUAUGGUCGGUCAAUAGGUUGUAUCAGAGUAAUGGAAUAUUUUUUAGCUUGACAUAUGAAGUUCUUUGAGCAGAAUGAUUAGAUGCACUUCAGAAUCAGCAAACUACAUUUGUCACUGGGUUUGUGAAUGGUUAACUUAUGCCUAUAUGCACUGUAUGGUUCUUUCAGUGCUUUACACCCAAAAGCAUGAAAACAUUAGCUUUUACGGUUGAAAACCACAGUGACUCAGUCAAAUUUUUUAUCUUAUGGUUUUCUGUACAGUUUUAUCUGGCUUUGAAAAUGGGACCUUUUUUUUUUUGUGCAUAUUUGGUGAGUAUUGUGUUUCCUUUCAGUCCCUGUAACUUAAAUAUGAGCUCACGAGUUUCGAAUUCAAGGUUUCAGUUAACAAUUUAAAAGUUGGCAGAGGAGGUAUAAACAUGCAUAGAAUUCUUAGGGAAAGAUUGGGUCAUGGACCUUAUGGUCACCAUUUUUAUUAAUUUACAUUUCCUGUAAUUAUACAUAAAUUUUGAUUUGGGGUUUCUGUUAACACUUUUUAUAUUGCCUAUAAAAACAAUGCUAUCCAACUUUGGCUCAAAAUGGUCUUGCAGUUUGAGAAGGGCUUGCCUUUAGUUUUAUUUUGGAUGACAAGAGUUCACAUUUGCCCUCUUGGGCUUCCAUCGGAGAUAGAUAGCUUUGAUCUGUUGCAUAUGGAUUUUACUUGCCAAGUGUAGUGCCAUGAGAGGAAAUGAGUAGAUUCUAGCUGACGAACUGGGUGUUAAUCAUUUCAUUUUUUUUUUUGCUUAUUUUCUUCCGCUGCAUAUGUGGCAACAAUGGUCAUCAGUGAAACUAAGGCAUUGUAGCCACUGAACAGGAUGUGAUACACCCGAGUCAUUCCCUCCCAUAUCUGAGGUGUUAAUUUUGAGAGAAUAUUCUGUGUUUUAAAUAAAGGUUAUCAUUUGAUAGCUAUGUACAAUCAGGUAUAUGGCUUUGACUUGUUGCAAGUGCAUUUCAGAGGCUGAUGCUCGCUGCCUCUGGGAAAAUCAGAAUAUUCUAGCUAUGGAUGUAAAACUUGAAAAUACCAUUUUCUUCUGUUGUUUCCCAUAUUUGUUGUGGUGAUCUGAGGGGGCAUUUAUGUGCUUUUACAUCAGGUCCUUGAGGGUGUUAUUAAGUAUAGGUGGAACGCAUUGCCUGUUGAACAACGGGAUGGGAUGAAGAAUUACAUUUCUGAAGUCAUUGUCCAGGUAUAAUUCACAUAGCAUGCUUCUUUCCUAUAAAGGUUUUGACAUGCUUUUCUUCUUCUUUUUUCUCCCCUCUUGUGGCAUUUGCUUCAUUUCCUUAUUUGUUUUUGCCUUUGAUCGCACUUGCAUAGCUUUCAAGCAAUGAGGCCUCAUUUCGGCGAGAGAGGCUGUAUGUCAACAAGCUCAAUAUCAUCUUGGUUCAGGUAAGCCUGUCUCUCUUUCAUAAAAUAAUGGUUUCUUAGAAGAGUGAUUUUGGUUAUUGAGAACACAACAACUUGGAUUUCUCUUUUAAUUUUGGUAUAAAUUUUUUAUAAUCAUUGUUUAAGCAAGCCAAUGUUGCCUAGUGAUGAUUAGGCAGUUAAGCUUCUGGUUUUUAUGGUUGUUCUUUUUGCCUUUCUAGUUUGUAGAUGUAUUUCUGCCCUUUGAAAGCUUGGUGCUUGUGGUUUUCUUUGAGAUAUUUUGGAUCUAAUUAGUUGAGUUUAUUCUAUAACCCAAUUAUCAUGUGGCCUAUGAAAAUACAGGUUUUGAAGCAUGAGUGGCCAGCAAGAUGGCGAAGCUUCAUUCCUGAUCUUGUUUCGGCAGCAAAAACUAGUGAAACAAUUUGUGAAAAUUGCAUGGCUAUUUUGAAAGUAAGUCCAUGGAGAUUUUCAUCUCUUCCUGAUAAAAUUUGGCUGGGCAUAUAUGGAUGACAUAAAUUCUUGCUUUUCAGCUUCUAAGUGAGGAGGUUUUUGAUUUCUCAAGGGGAGAAAUGACUCAACAGAAGAUCAAAGAGCUUAAACAAUCUCUAAACAGGUAAUUUGUCUAGGGCCCUUGGAACCCCUCAGGAUUAUGUCGGGUGAAGUGCUCCUGGCUGUUGCAUCCAUGAGUUUUGUCUGUGCCUUGUUUACUGCUUUAAGAUUUUUGACUUGUAGGCUUGCAACUGUUUGUAUGUAAUGAGCAAGCCAAGACAUGCAAUUUGUAAUGUUUUACAUAUUUGGCAAUGUUGUAAGAUACGCUUAAACCAUUGAAUUUGUUCAAGAAAUAGAGUUUGUUUAAUUGUGCCUACUCAACUUAUUUAUUUGAUUUGGGCUCGUGCUUAUGAGAUCUGUAGUAUUUAUUGUGUGAUGGCAACUCUUUUUUUAUUUUAUUUUUAUUAUUUUUAAACCAUUUAUAGUGAUUCAGGCAAGUAACCAACCUUUGCUAUUACUCCUAGCAAUUUCUUAAUGUUAUUUCCUCCCAGCUUCACUGGCUUGAGAACUUGAUGUUCAAUUUAACUCUUUACAUUGGAAAACACUCUAUCAGAAAUUUAACUGAGAAAAUACUCUUGCUGGAUAAAUAAGGAAGCAAAAAUAUUCUUUGGCAGUGAGGACUCUUGAGAUUUUUAGGAUCCCUAAAUACUAUGUUGUGAAUUGGCUAAGCAAUAGCAGGAACAGUUUACUGUCUGUUCUUUGUUUGUAAUCCAAUUUAAAGUCAAAAGUUGUUUUGGAUGCUCUAAUACCUUUUAAUACAAAUUUUCCUGAAGUUCUUGGACUAGUCUGAUUAUCAUGAGCUGUUGUGGCUACUUUUUUUUUGCAUGUAUAGCAGUUUUAGCUUCUGUAUAAGAUUGUAGUUUUGUGGACAGCCUUAGCUAUCAGCUUGUCACCUUUUAGUAUUCAAUUUUUUGGUAAGAUCCUUUAAUAUUCAAUUUGCUAUUUAUUUUUAUCAUUUAUCUUACUAAGGAUAUUUUUGGAUUUAUUUGCAGUGAGUUUCAGCUCAUUCAUGAGUUAUGCUUAUAUGUACUAUCAGCAUCUCAAAGAACUGAACUUAUACGGGCAACGCUGGCUACAUUGCAUGCUUUUCUCUCAUGGAUUCCUUUGGGCUAUAUUUUUGAAUCACCGCUGGUUUGUGCAAUGCUCUUCCAUGGUUCAUGUUGAAUUUGAUGAGAAUCAAUUUAUCUGUAACCUUGCAGUACUUGUAUUUGGUGUUAAAAUUUUGGAAUCUUUCAGUUAAGAGUUAAAUAACUGCCUGAAUAUGUACUUCGUUGUAUGUGUCAGCUGGAAACGCUCCUAAAAUUUUUUCCUGUCCCAUCAUAUCGGAAUCUCACCCUCCAGUGUUUGACAGAGGUAUAUUAACAUUCCAUUUUUCAGAUAAAUCUGUACAAUGCCUUUGCUUGUUAUCUUCAGGGUAUAUAACAUUUUUUGUUCUUGAUGUUCACAGGUUGCAGCCCUUAAUUUUGGGGACUUCUAUAACCUUCAGUAUGUGAAAAUGUAUAACAUAUUCAUGGUCCAGUUACAGGUAAGCCAAAAACAAGGAUUUCACCUAAAUGUGGUUUAGAGCUACAUUUGAACUUUCUAAGUUUAUUUCCUGGGUUGCUUAGAUUUAUUGGAGUUUGUUCCUUAUUUUUUCUCUUGUUUGUCAUUCAUUUUAUCUGCAUUUUAUUUAUUUGAAUUUAUUGUUUUAUCUUUGUUGCCUUUUGCGUGCACCUUUGAUUUUCUUCAGUCUAUUCUUCCAACUACUACAAACAUACCUGAGGCUUAUGCACAUGGCUCUAGUGAGGAGCAGGUAAUGUUUCCAAUAUGUGGGUAUUUGUUUUGUUUUUGUUUUUUCGUAUGUCUCUAACCAAUUUGUAUAUUUUCUUUGUUUCUUCAGGCAUUUAUUCAGAACCUUGCUCUAUUUUUCACCUCAUUUUAUAAGGUUGGUUUCAUUUCUUGCUUUUAGGGGUUUGUUAGCCAGGCAAUAGGAAAAAACAUGCUGAUACCCCUCUUUUCCUAUUCAGUCUCAUAUUCGAGUGCUGGAAUCUAGUCAAGAGAACAUAUCUGCACUCCUACUGGGUCUUGAGUAUCUCAUUGGCAUCUCAUAUGUGGAUGACACUGAAGUUUUCAAGGUAUGAUUGUUGUUGUUAUAUAUCUGUUCACCUUUUUCUCUUUGUAAUUAAGCUCUCAAGUUUAUAGUUGGACCUGGCAUCAUUGAACAGGUUUGUCUGGACUAUUGGAACUCCUUAGUUUUGGAGCUGUUCGAGGCACACCAUAAUUUAGAUAAUCCUGCAGUGGCUGCAAAUAUGAUGGGACUGCAGGUAAAGUAAUUUUUUUUUUAUUGGUAGAUCAUGAUCCUGUAAUAUUUUAGGACAAGGUAGAUUUGCUUUAAGAUUUCAAGGAUUUCUUUCUUGAACUUGUGUUGUAGUUCUUUGCUCCUGUAUUUUGGAUUUGAGAUUACAUAUAUGGAGACAUAGCGCACCCUUGUCCCUUUAUUUUGUUUUCACCUGCACAACUGUUGUUUCCCACAGCUGGUAAAAGAGAGAAUGUCUAAUGAAUUUUGUUAGGAAAAUUCCUAUCACAAAGAAAAAUUUAAUAGAAAGGUCCUUCAGUGACUUCUCUGCACUUGAAACUGAGUUCAAAGCCAAUGCCAUCAUCUCCUCAAUAGGAGGAAGUUAGCUAGCUAGACUUGGGAACCGAGUUACCUGAAAGUGUGGGAAUCCAUGGAGUAUUCCUCAAUGACUUGGACAAGGUACUACUCUUUGGGCCUGCUUAAUCCGAUGCCACUUAUCAGUUAUGGCCUCAUUAGGAUCUUGUCAUCAAACCAGAGAGGUAUCUCCCACCUUGAGGCAUGUCUAACAAUGUAAGCUUAAACCUUUUGGAAUGGAUUCUUUGUGUUAGGAAGAGAAUUUUUGUUCAAUUUCUCAUUUUUGGGUUCAGGUACCAUUUCAUCACCAUGUUUACUAAUUAGGUGACAAGGAUUAUUUUACCUUCUUAUGAUAAUUUGUCAUAACAUUUUCUGUAGGCCUUCUUAUUUCUGCAUUAUAAUACCCAUUGCCUGGUUUCAUGCAUGUUGGUAUAUUUGUCAAUAAAUAUUACAUUGGCUCCUGCUGCUUGUCUGAGUCUUCAUAUGGUCUGUGGAAUGUUUGUACUUGUCUUUUUUCUAUGGAAAAAUUUAUACUCAUGCCAACUUCCGUUUGUGUGCUGAAUCGACAGAUACCAUUGAUCCCUGGUAUGGUUGAUGGCCUUGGUUCUCAACUUCUGCAGCGGCGGCAGCUUUAUUCUGGUCCUAUGUCAAAGUUGAGAUUGCUUAUGAUCUGUCGUAUGGCUAAGCCUGAAGAAGUUCUGAUUGUUGAAGAUGAAAAUGGGAAUAUUGUUCGUGAAACUAUGAAAGACAAUGAUGUCCUUGUUCAGUAUAAGGUAUUCAAUUUAUAUCUGAAAAAUAAAGCAUCAAAUCUAUACAUAUAUAUUUGUUAGAGUGUGGGGAUAGUAUAAUUCUUCCAUAUCGAUUUACCCAUUGUUCAUCAGUUGGUUAGGGCAUUGUGGUCCUUAAAAAACAAAAUUACUCAAUUUAGCAGUUACUUUUCUGGUUGCUUAUCAAAAAAAAAAAAGAAAAAAGAAUUUAGCAGUUAUUUUUAUGAACACAAGACUGAUUUUUGGAAAAAAAAGAAAAGGAGAAUGGGAAUGUUGUCAAGAACAUUGUUAUUUUUGUUCUUUAGAUGGAGCUCAAUGAUUUUUUCACAAGACGUGUGAAUUCAGUUAUGUUUCUUUGAAUUGGUUCUUGUUUGUUUGUCUGUCAGGGUUUUAGAAGUUCCUACAGGAAAAGUUCAAAUUAAAUGACUUGGCUAUUGUUAUAGAAAUUAACAGAAUAAUGGUUGCUGUGUGAGUAAGCUAAGGUGGAUGAGUAGGUGGACAGCAUCCUGAAUCAUCUUUUAGAAUUUGGAUUGUUCUUGUAAUACAUAAGAUGUUAUAUAUGGGAAUUGUUUUACAUUUUACUUCAUCUUGUGUAUCUAUUUCUAAAUUUUUACCUUAUUUAUAUUUUACCUUAUUUACCUUUCUUCCUGCAGAUUAUGAGAGAAACUCUGAUCUAUUUGUCACACCUUGAUCAUGAGGAUACUGAAAAGCAGGUAUGGAGUUAUGAUCUAAUUUGUUUUUAUAUUUGCUUGUAAGGAAAACUAACACAUUAUGUGCUUUUAUUUCUCUUCCUUAGAUAUACUUUCACUCCUAUCUAUCUACUAUGAUUCCAAUUAUAUAAGAAUCUGUUUUUUUUUUUUUCAAUUGAUGACCUUCCACAAAUUUGAAAUAGAUGCAAUUUUGUGAACCCGAUCUAAUCCUCCUAAUAUGUUUCCACGAUUCUCUGCCAUGAUUACCACUCACUUCCCCCAAGUGCCACCUGUAAUCCAUCUCUUAUGUUUUCUGGUCGCCACAGCCUCUCUAUCUAUACCACAAACCUAAUGGAAGCCUAGAUCUGCUUAUUAGGAAGCCGGCAAACUGGUCAAUGAGGGAAGCCUCUUCCCUAGUUGAUUUUGUUGGGGAUUUCAUGUUCCCUUGACUUUAAGGCAUGAUUUCCUUGGGGCUAGGAAGCUAAAGAUGUUCUACUUGGUGGAUUUUUAUUUGCUCUUUUGUAUGCUCCUGUACGUUUUCCUUUUUUGGUAGGUUUUCUUGUUCUUUAUUGUUUUGUACAAAUUGUUAGUUCUAUCUAAUAUGAAUAUGGUUUUUUAUAUCAAACAAUUUCUGCUCUGUAAAAUACGAUCGUCUCAACUGCAUAAAGCAGCUGGGAGAUUUCUUAACUUUCUCAUUUGUCACAAGCCUCAUUCACAGGCCUGUUCACAAGCCUGCUAAUGACCUCCAUAACUAUAAUAAUGACCUCCAUAACUAUAAUCAACAGGAACAGAUACAGGUUCCCUUUGCAUUUUCUCUAAAUCCCUUUGAUCUUGCUCAACAUGUGUAAGUGGUAUCCUGUAUAUGUACCACUAACAAUUAAUUGCCUUGGUCUUCAUAUAAUUUCUGAACAUGAAUAUAUUUUUUUUCUUUCUCUUUGGUGUAUAUAGAUGCUGAAAAAAUUAAGUAAGCAGCUGAAAGGUGAGGAUUGGACAUGGAAUAACUUAAAUACAUUAUGCUGGGCAAUAGGAUCCAUAUCCGGUUCCAUGAUGGAAGAACAGGUAUAAUUCUUUCCAUGUUUAGCUUGAGAUCCUGUAUAAACAAGAUGAUGAGACUACCUUUGCUUAGUUCACACCAUUUUAUUCUUUUCUGUGCUGUUACUGUGAUUCGCUCCUUGUUUCAUUUUUAGAUAAGUGAGGAUUGUCUUGUGAUGUCAAUUGAAUUAUACUUUUAACAAUGUCUACUAGUUCAUUUUUGGUAAAUAAUAUUUGUGCCUUUAGAUAAUUGUUCUGAUUUUAUUCUGGCUUCAUGCUUCAUUUUAGAAUAUCCUCACAAAUUUUACCAAACUGGAGAACUUUCCAGUGAGCAAAGUUUGAUAGGGUCCAAUAUCACCUUUUAAACAGCAGGUUCAGGUCUGUAGUUGACUCUUCAUGGAUCCAAUGUCAUAUGGAUGUUUAGAAAUGAAGCACCUUUUAGAGAUUAUUCACAUGUUCUACGUGUAGAGAAAUGAAGCACCUUAUUGAGACUAUUCUCUAAGAAUUGGAUUGAAGGUAGACACAUUUUCUACCUGUAUUUUUAACUAAACUCUGAGGAUUACUUGUGCUUUAUUAUAGGAUUCAAUGUCCUGGUAUUGUGCGUCUAGAUGUAAUGAAAUGGAAUUUUUAUAGAAGCUGAUAGACAUGUAAAAUAUUUUUUAUUUGAUGCAAUGCCAGAAUUGUCCAUACUGAGAUGGCUAAUUUAUAAAAACAUUUUUUCCUUCUCAUGUUCUCUUUAACCUUAAUAUACACCUCUUGUUUCUAAUAAAAAGAAUAAAAAAUUUGGAAGAACUUUUGGCAUACCCUAAACUUUUUUUUCUCUGGUCCUUUCUCUAGCUUUGGCUUUUCCUCAUUGUGGUCUUUACAUCUGUAGGAUUAAUCAUACUUUUGCUUUAUUUGAUGGCUAUCUCAUCUUUCUUUGUAUUUCUUUUCUCUAUCUUAAGAAAAUUUCUUGUGUUUGAAAGAAAAAGAUUCUUAAUAUUACGUGGUUUCUGCAAAUUUGCUUAACUGUUUGAGAUGGAAUCUUCAUCCAUUCCAAACAAAUAGGUGGUAUUUUUUUUUUCUUUUUUUAUCCUUCUGUUUAAGCAUUUACUUUGAUUCUGGGAUUUAUAUGGACCAUUUUUCACUAUCUUGAAUUUUGGCAGGAAAACAGAUUUCUGGUGAUGGUCAUCCGUGAUUUACUGAAUUUAUGUGAAAUCACAAAAGGAAAAGAUAACAAGGCCGUCAUUGCAAGCAACAUCAUGUAAGAAUUUAUGAUGUUAAAGUUGGUCAUGACAAUCUCCAUUAGGGUUCUAUGUGGUCCUUUUCAAUUCUUGAUCAGGGUAUAGGUGCUCUGGACCUUUAUGUAGUUGAAAAAUUAGUACAAGUGAUUGUCUCAGUUAUGCCUCUUGUUGGCAAUUGGACAACUAUAAAUAAUCAGAUCUUUGGUAUCUCUCCUGUAAAACUAAAUUAUAGGUCUGCUCAAAAUUUCCAGUUUAUAUUUUAAUUCUUUUUGGUUGGAUUGGCAGGUAUGUUGUUGGACAAUACCCAAAAUUUCUGAGGGCCCAUUGGAAGUUCUUGAAAACUGUUGUGAAUAAGUUAUUUGAGUUCAUGCAUGAGACACAUCCUGGAGUUCAGGUAUUAUUACUAUCCCAUUAUUUUCCUCCAAGAUAUUGCACAUCUGAUAGUCAUUUGCAGGUUUCAUGUUGUUAGAACUUUACUUUCAUGCUCUAUAUAUUAGUAGUAUUUUUCAUGUAAUAGACCUUUAUAUCUGAUAGAAAAAAUCCCAUGGCUCUGGAUCACAGAGAUCUUUCUUUUCGGAAUGCUUUGAGUUCCAUCCUUUCUUCCCUUGUCAGUUUGCCCUCCUUUCCUGAAAUAGGACUUUCUGAUUUAUAUUGCUUGGAAUGGCUACUUAUAUUAAAAACUUUUAUCUAGUUGCAGAAAUGUUUACGAAAGCAUCUGAGGCUGUUGCCUGAAUUAGUAUUUGCAUAUGAUGCUUAAUUAUAACUUCCAUGCAUCUCUUUCAGGACAUGGCCUGCGAUACAUUCUUGAAAAUUGUCCAGAAGUGCAAACGUAAAUUUGUUAUUAUACAGGUGAAUUUACUUUUAUUUCUCCUCUUUUAGAUUGUGUGGCUGAUAUUAUGUUUCUCUGGUUAAAAAUAGUCCUUGUCUUAAUUAUUUGAGGUAACACAUCACUAGGGGAAUUGUUUUAGCCCAAUGGUGAUUUGCUUCUCUUAUUAUUAAUUUGAUGAGAAACUUAUGUUAUUUUCAGGUUGGUGAAAAUGAACCAUUUGUAUCUGAAUUACUAUCAGGCCUUCCAUCAACUAUUGCAGAUCUUGAGCCUCACCAAAUCCAUACCUUUUAUGAAUCUGUAUGUAGAUCAUAAUCUUGAUUUUAUUUGCAAAGUUGCUUUGUUGUAAGAUUAUUCCCUUAUUUUUUAUUUAUUUUAUUUGUAGGUUGGUCAUAUGAUCCAAGCAGAAUCUGAUCCCCAGAAGAGGGAUGAGUAUCUGCAGAGGUUGAUGGAACUCCCAAAUCAGGUAUGUUUUAAAUUGCAUUAUUAGAGUUUGAUCUCACCAUUUCUGUGUCUCUCAAGAGCGCACAUGUGUGAAGUGAUGCUGGAACUUUGUGGCUUUAGUCUUGUGCUUAGGGACUUGUUUUAUUAUGCAGAAAUGGGCUGAAAUUAUUGGACAGGCACGCCAAAGUGUUGAUUUCCUGAAGGAUCAAGAUGUGAUCCGGACUGUGCUUAAUAUAUUGCAGGUAUAAUAUCUGUGACACAUGAGAAGUGGAAGCAGGAUUUGCAACCUGAUUAUUUGAUAGAAUGAGUACAGCUAUAUGUUUUUUUAUUUUUUAUUUUAUUUUAUUGAUAACAUGGGGAAGGGGUGCAUUGGUGCCUCUGGACUAUUUGUUUUCUUAGUAAACAGUCCAUUUUGUUUUACAUAGAUCCUGUCUAAUAAGAAGUUUUAUAUAGAUCUGAAGACAUAAAUAUGUUUGACAAUGAAAUGAAGAGAUGAAAAUAAAUAAAUUUCAGUUAUUGCUAAGUAUUGUGGUAGGCAUCCAAAAUGGUGACAAUAAAACCAUUUAUAUAUAUAUAUAUAUAUAUAUAUAUAUAGGUCAUUUGUUGAAAUCCUGAAAAUUAUUAGUAUGGUUAUAGUAUGGUACUCAUUUGCAAGUGCUAUGAGGGAGAAGAACAGUAUGCUUCAUUUCAGAUUGUAUGUGAUACAAAUUAUUCCAUCCCUGUUUGACAUCCAAAUGCCCUUAUUGAAAUUUCCAAUACAAAACCCCCCUCCCCCCCACAUAUACACAUAUUAAUAAUUGGCCUUGCUCUUUUUUCUCUCAAAUUUCAUGCUGUCUUUUCAGUUUAUUUUCUUAUCAAAUGAAUUAAAAAGUUAGGAAUUUUGGGUGAACUUAGUGGAUAAUUUCUUGUCUAGUGUACAUGCAGUUUUAUAAUGUAUUAAUGCACUGUGUAUUUCCACAAAGCGAACUUGAUCUGUAUCAUUGAUUUGACAUUUUUGGUUCUUUGGCUUCAUCUCCUAGCAAGGAGUAGAAAACCAUUUUGUGAUUAUUUGCAGAUUUGCUGGAACUAUAGACUAUGAUGUUAUUUUUAAAUUGUGUUACAGUGAGGAGUGCUUGGUUGUGGUGCAUUUAUCCAGAAUCUCACAUGUGGAAGAUAAAUGAAAUUAUGUCAGAAUGAUAAGGGUCUCCUCCUCCAUAUAGUGCUUGUUUAUAGUCACACACAGUUUUCUGGACUUAAAAUUCCCUGAAUUUGUUGCAGAAAAGGAAAAAAGAACAUAGUUUUUCACAAAUAAUCUUUUUUAUCAUCCUGAUGAUGGCCCUUUCUUGAUAGAUUGUUCCUUUAUAUAGUCCUCCCAGUGCAUUGUUUAUGGUUUGUUAGCUUGUAGAUCAGACCAUUAUGGUAUCUUUAAUGAUGAAUUCUUUGUUCUGGGUUGGUGAUUUGUAUUUUUUAUUUUUCGAUUCACUGCCUCAUGAAGAUUAAAGUGUAACCUUUGAGACAAUUCUUUUGCAGACAAAUACAAGUGUUGCCACAUCACUUGGAACAUAUUUCUUAUCACAAAUUACGCUGAUAUUUUUGGACAUGCUUAACGUGUACAGGUAUAUAUUUUCAAGUAAAAUUUAAACUUAAAAGAUUGUCAGCUAUAUCAACUUUGAUAUAUUGAGCAUACCAGCCUUAAGAAGGGCCACUGGCACGUGAACUAAUGUUUCGUUUUCAUGACUUCCCAAUGCUUGCAACAGAAUGUACAGUGAGCUUAUAUCGAAUAGCAUUGCUGAAGGAGGGCCCUUUGCCUCUAAAACGUCCUAUGUAAAGCUUUUGCGGUAAGACCAAUUAUCAAGAUAUUGUCUCAAUUUUGCCAUAUAAUAUAGAUGUGACAUAGCAUAUCAUAUUCAGUAUCAGUUUAUACGCUUUCUGGACAAUGCAUUGAUUAAUAUAGUGAAGAUUAAUCUGUAUACUGUUAUAAGCAUUAUGAGUUCUUGUGCAGCACCCUUUUUCUUGCUAGGUGGUACCAUCUAAUAGAUUUUUCUUGCCUAUCAAAGAAACAACCGAGUGUGAGGUUUCAUAUUUAGAUAAAAAUUUAAAUUCAAUGGAACAUGCAAAAGUCAAAUUAUGCACUUGUCUUCUUUUAUUAUAAAUUGUAUUAUGUGUGAUGCCCAUAGCAGAUAAUUUAGGCUCCUAGUUUUAAUGUUUAUCCUUGUGUUUUUUAAAUAUUGAAGAAAAAGUUUAAUACUUAGGCCCCAUUUGAUGUAGUGGGCAUAAAAGGUUUGUUUACUUUCUUUUACCAUUACAAUAUCUUUAAGAUAAGUGUAAGAAUUUAUUUCAAGAAAUAUAGGUUUAGGACUAAUAUUUUUUUAAAAAAAAACUGAAAGAAAUUCUUUGUAUAUGUGGGAGACACAUGUCAAUCAUGAUAGCAUGUUUAUGAGUUAUUGAUAACUGUUUGUAUAACCUACAAGUUUCUUUUUUCCCCCCUCUGUGCUGCUUGGAACAGGUCAGUUAAGAGGGAGACUCUCAAGCUCAUUGAGACAUUUUUGGACAAGGCUGAAGAUCAGCCACAAAUUGGAAAGCAAUUUGUUCCUCCAAUGAUGGAUCCUGUUCUUGGUGACUACGCAAGGAAUGUACCUGAUGCUAGGGAAUCAGAAGUUUUGUCACUUUUUGCAACAAUAAUAAACAAGUACUAUAUCUUUUUCUCAUUGUGUUCAUUAUAAUGUAUUUCUGUGAAUUAGUUAGUGGGAGAUGGCUCCAAUUACAAAUGACCAACUAUGAGAAAACUAGAUAUUAUACAGUCCCUAGUUUUUUUUUUUAGUGUUUCUUUCUUUUUAACUUUGUGAAAGUCCCUCUUGUAGGCUUACCUGGGUAGCAGUUCCAAUAUGGUGUAGGUUUUCUAUAACACUUAUCGGUUACACACAUUCCCCUUUUUUGUAUAGAAACAUUUGUAUAUAGAAGUGCUAGAUAGUGCAUCUGGAAGCAGCAACUCCUGUCAUGUCAUCCUCAGCAGUCCGACCAAUAUUAUCUAAAAUAUUAAGAUUGGCUUGAAUUCAGCUAUUUAUCCAUGUUCACAAGAUUUAAAUAUUAUAUUUGCGGUCCAUAUUCCUACUGUAAAAUAAAUAUUUUAAUGAUUUAGUGCUUAGCAUACUGGAGAACAAUCCAAUUCUGAUGCUACUUUGCCAUAUAUUACUAUUUUCUUGCGUGUAUUUCUUAGGCGGUCCUCUAUUUUUCUUUCAUUAGUUUUCCUUGUGAGCUUGCAAGUUCUGAUGCUGGGUUUUCUUCUAUCUUUGCUGAGCUGCUUUUUUUUGCAAAGUUUAAUUUGCUCAUUCUGUGCUGCUGGAGACUGAUGUUUCUACCACAAUCAGCAGACUUCUCUCUUGAAGAAUUUGUUAAUCCUUUUACUUCAAUUUUCUUUUCUAAUGUUUCACCUUUUUUUAAUCGGUUUCAAUAAUGUAGGUACAAGGGUGCAAUGAUAGAGGAUGUGCCUCGCAUAUUUGAAGCCAGUUUUCAAUGCACGCUGGAGGUGAGGAUGUGGGCUGCUACUUGAUUUGUGUUGUUAAUCUAUGUGUGUAUGGUUUUAUGUGCCUAUACUUGAUAUCUGUCUCGGAAUUUCCAAUGUUACUCAAGAUUGCUUUUAAUUCAUAGAAAAUAAUUUAUGAAAAAUAGAAGAUCCUGAAAAAGCAUAAAGAAUUAAACGCAUGUUCGAGGAGAAUGAAGCAGGUACGACAUAUGGUUUGUACAUGCAUAGUAGGGUGGAAAAGAAGUUCUGCUGAAUGUGCUACUGCCCUGGUCUAUCAUACUAGACAUGUUUUGUUUUAUAACAUGCAGUUCCAUAUUAAAAAUGUGAUAUAAAAUCUAAGCACCAUCAUAUCCUGCACCAGGAACACUCCCUUGUCUCAAUUAUGGAUUCAAUGAACUUCCAUAAUGUUGCAAGAUGAUGCGGAUUAUUUUGAAAUGUAACUGUAUUUUUUUCAGCAAUUUCCGUUGUCGAUUUUUUUUCUUUAUUGUUUGGAGGCAAUAUAAUUAUAUGCUGCUAGAUACGAUAAGUCAUGACAUCAUUGUGUAUAGUUGGUCACCUUCCACACAGGUUAUUUAGCAGUGGAUGCAUAUGUUUUGCCUGAGCAAUAUUGAUCUUUCCUUAAUUUUCUGCUGCUGUGUACUGCAGAUGAUUACUAAAAAUUUUGAAGAUUAUCCAGAGCAUCGCCUAAAAUUCUUCUCCUUACUUCGUGCAAUUGCUACACAUUGCUUUCCUGCUUUGAUUCGGUUGUCAAGCCAGGUUGGUGUUGAAAUUUUAUUCCCCUUCAUUAAGUCUCAUUUUAGCUUGAUUUGUGUCUAAAUUCUGUUUAUAGUUGUGUUAGUUCAUCUGUUUGAAUGUGGAUGUAAACAAUUGGGUUUUCUUAUGUGCAUCAUUAUUAUUGUUCAUCUUAUUUUCCCCUUUCUGAUUGCAAUGAGCUUAUUCUUGUUUGUCUUGUUUUUGGUCUGCAUUAGCAAUUGAAGCUUGUAAUGGACUCAAUCAUAUGGGCUUUCCGGCACACUGAGAGGAAUAUUGCAGAAACAGGUUUAAACCUUUUAUUGGAGAUGUUGAAGAACUUUCAGGUGUGGUUUUGUAUGUAUUCUUGCAUCGUCUAUUCCAUGUGACAUGCUGGAUGCUUACUGGGUUUUGGGUCACUUGACAGGCUUCUGAGUUCUGUAACCAGUUCUACCGAACGUACUUCUUGACAAUCGAGCAAGAAAUUUUUGCUGUUCUGACAGAUACCUUUCACAAACCUGGAUUCAAGUUGCAUGUCUUAGUACUGCAGCACCUAUUUUGCCUGGUAAUAUAUCUCUAUAUGACUUCUCAGCUGUAGCCAGGAGACAGUUAAAUUACAGCUAGUAAUGUGAUUUCAGGUUGAGUCUGGUGCAUUAACAGAGCCUUUAUGGGAUGUAUCUACAGUUGCUUAUCCAUAUCCUAAUAACACAAUGUUUGUUCGUGAGUAUACCAUAAAACUCUUGAGUACCUCGUUCCCCAACAUGACGACAUCUGAGGUAUGGAAGAUAAGCAUUUGUUCAACACCUUCUGUCUUCUUUGGAGAUCUCUAACUGGAAGAAAAUUUUCAGGUGACCCAAUUUGUGACUGGACUAUUUGAGUCGAGAAAUGACCUCUCAACAUUUAAAAAUCACAUACGAGACUUCCUCGUUCAAUCAAAAGAAUUCUCUGCUCAGGUAACGCUGCAAAUUAGUAAAUAUUGACUACUUCAUUAGGUUGGAGUACCCAAGAUAGAUAUAACUUAUAAAAGCCUGGAACUGUCAUAUCUUGUCAGCACAAGCAUUUUCAUUCUAGUUAACUUUACGUUGCAUUUAGGGUUAAACGUACCUCACUUUAAAGCUGCAACUAGGCAGGCUGAUUUUAGGAAAAUUGAUGCUUAAAAGCGAAUGGUCAAGUUUAUCUGUUCUAGGCUUUGAACACACAGGAAAAUCCCACAUUUCAUCUCCUUUUUGAUGAAUCUAGCUUCUACUGGCAGCAAAACUUUUAUGCUGUUUGCAGUAAGGUCAAUAGUGUGCUUAUUGUCCACUUAUUUGUCUCGACAUUGUUCAGCUAUUAGUGGGCCUUUUUGUCGGUCUACUUAGGACAAAGCAUGAAACGAUCUACUUGCUGUCCCUGCAUCAUUUGGCUUGCAAACCUUCAAUGAGAAAAUGUGGUAUCAUCUGGGUGUCAUGGAUGUUAUGUUCACCGACAUUGCGUCAGCACCAAGAACAUUUGUGUUGAGCAACAACAGUUAUGCUAUUGCUGUACAAAUAAGGCAAGUAGGGUCUUAUUUUAAUACUCGCCCAUUUGGUGCAGGAUAACAAAGAUCUCUAUGCAGAAGAAGCUGCUGCUCAGAGAGAAAGAGAGCGACAGCGGAUGCUUAGUAUCCCAGGGCUCAUCGCCCCAAAUGAGAUUCAAGACGAGAUGUUGGACUCAUAGGUUGUCGGUCUGUCGUUGCUGUCAAAUCUAAUUUCCUGGUUUUUGACUCUGGAGUUACAAUUUGGGCGCGUUGAAUCUCAGUUAUCACAUUCUAUGCACAUGACACCAGACAGAUCAAUUUUUUCCCCCUUAUUUUUUUCUCCCGUUACCUUUGAAAGAUUUUCUUUUAGUUUGAACCAGUGAAUCCAUGAAGGCGCCCUCGUUCGUAGGCUUUGGCUGCUCGAAAAAUACCUCCUACCUCUAUUGGCAUGGUGUAGAGUAUUUUAGGUGCUAAUGUAGGGAUAUAGCGAGUCAUUAUCCGGUUUCUUGAAUGGACCUUGAUAGAUAAUGUAUUUCAUUAAGGAUGGAAUGCAAAAAUGUUGAAAUCACUCUUUCUUCAGGAUUUGAUGUUUCAUCCUUUUAGGUGUAAUGUAUACUAACUUUGGCGGUUUGUGCAGAAAUUUAAUUUUUUGUUAUUGGUUUGUAGGAUACAUAUAAUGUAUUUUGCUGUCUGGUAAGAGCUUUCUACUUUUGUGUUCUUUUGCUUUCAGUGAUAAUGCAAGUGUGAUUGUUCUUGAAACUUGAUAAUUCAUUUGUAUUUUUUCCGGGAAACCUUUAUUUUCAUUGCAUCCAAACAGGUGGUACAAGCAACAGUUCUAGACAUCCUUUGGUUUUGACACUAAAUCCACCAGGGUUUUGAAAUUCUCAGUAGAACUCCCUUUAGGACCAACUGCCCUGUCUGCAGUCUCUCUUAGGGCUCCCAGAUUUUCCCUCAGUUUCUUCCCUUUUUCUUGUGAGAGAAUUUGAUCAAAGCAACUCAUUAGCCCACUCUCUGUGAAAACCCCACCUUCAAUUCUCACUCCAAUCUCCAAAGCAUCCUCCACCAUCCUCCCAUUGAGCCUUUGGUCCCCAUAAAAGGGCCUGCAAAUCAAGGGUACCCCACCGGCCACGCUUUCCCACAAUGAGUUCCAUCCACAAUGUGUUACAAAAGCCCCAACUGCCUCAUGUGCUAGGACCUCCGCCUGAGGAGCCCAUGGAACCACCAUUCCGUACCCUCUGGUCUUCUCCAAGAAACCUUCUGGCAAAUGCACCCUUGCCUUGUCCCUUAGGGACCAUAUAAACGGUACCCGGCUUGCCUCCAGUGCCUCAGCUAGGGCUACAAGCUCGGCUGGGGGUGGUGUCGUGACGGUGCCAAAGCUAAUGUACACGACCGAGGUGGGUUUUCUUUCUUUGAGCCAUUGGAGGCAGCCGGUUGUGUUGGGUAUAACCGGCGGUGGGGUUAUUAGGUUAAAUGGACCGAUAUUGAGGUACGUCUUGAGCUUGGAUUUGAGAUCAUUGGUUAGGGAAUCGUCGAGCUCCUCGAAGGAGUUUAUGAAAACUGCAGUCGCCUUAGGUAGCACUUGGCCCAUCCGAUGGAGCAUGCGUGAGAAGAGCGAGUUUAGGUUUCCGAACACGAUGCCUUCCUGCAGGUCGCGAAAACGUACUUUAGACAUUCCGGGAAUGAAAUUGAGCAGCUCGUCUUCACGGCCUUGAAUGCCUGUAACGUAAGGUAUUGAACAAUCAAUCUUUUAAAGCAUCAAUAAUCUUAGAAAACAAAUUAGCAGGUAAAACCACCUGAAACUCCAAUCUUUUCUCUGAUUUCAUCAGUGUAAACAUGGGUGGAGAGUGAGUUAGGCCCUGCAGUCCAAAACGGCAGCCAAGCCACCCCCAUCUCUGCUGCCAUAUCUGCAGCAAACCAAAUGAAUGCGUCAGCCACCAGGCAGCUCACUGGCCGCCCUGUCUCGGCCACAGCCAUCACCAUCCCCUGCCUAAAGCUCUCCGGCGCAGCCCUCAUGAACAGCUCAAUAUCCUCCUGGGGCCGCCCGGCGAACACAUACCCCUCAGCCACACCGUCGGACACAUCAUAGGACUUGAUAUUACAUUGCAUGGUAUGCAUGGAGUCGUGGAAGAUGGAGGCGUUGGAUUGGCUGGUGCUGAAGAAGGAGAAGACUGCAUGAGGGGCAGCGGCAGCAAGGCGGCGAACGACGGCAAGGAGGGGGGCUGCAUGGGUGGAGAAGGGGAAGGCCAGGACGGCCACAUGGGGGUUGGUGGUGGUUUGAGACAUGGUUGGAAUGGGGGAUGUUACAAUUUGGGUUUUGGCUGUUGAAGAUUAUAAAUGAGAGCAAGUGCAUGGGGGUUGUGAGAGUGGCAACUGCAUGGGGGUUGUCAUCCCACCCUCCUAACAAACCAACCCAAAACCAAACCACCAGUCUGCAUGGCGGCCAAAGAAAGAAAAAAUGGGAAAAAAAACAAAACAAAACCAGGGGCAAGUGAAAGCUCUGUGUGAGCUUUUACUUUGCCAUUGGUGGGAUAUACGUGGUGAGUAGUAGCAAGAGCAUGUUUUUUAAUUUUACUUAAAAAAUUAUUUUCCAUUCUAAAGAAAAUAAAAUUGUUUUCUAAUUUGAAAAAUAUGAUUCAAUAAAUUUUUUGAAAUAAAUUAAUGUUUUCAAAAUUAAUUUGAUUAAAACCCCAUUGUUUUUAAGAAUAAUUUAAAAUUUUUUUUUUUAGGAAUGUUGAAAAGGUGGAGAACGUUUUAAAAGUUUUUGUAUUCCACAUGAUAUAUAUUAUUUUUAUGAAGAGAACUAAAAAAAUUAUUUUUUAUAUUUUGGUUAUUAGAUAGAAUUUUGUUACCAAAAACAAUUGAAAAAUAUUUUAAAGAAUUAUUUUCAAAAAAUACUUUUUAAGAAUUGAUUUUGAAAAAGCAAUUAAUUAAAGAAAUUAAAGGAGUUGUUUGAAAACUUUUUUGAAAAGAUCCAAAAACUGUAUUUUAACUUAAAAGGUAAGGGUCUAUUUGAUAAUUAUUUUUUAGAACGGUUUUCUAUUCUUUAAAACAAAAAAUUAAGAUAAUACAUUUAACAAUAAAAAAUUAUUUAUAAUAGAAAACAAAGUAUUUUCAGAAAAUAUAUUUUAAUUAUUUUUUAUGAAUGUUUUGAAAAAUAAUUAUACAAAUAUGUAGAAUGAUUAAAAAUAAAAUACUAGAUAUCAAACUUAUUUUUAAAAUAAACUAAAAAAUAUUAAAAAUAUGUUAAAAGAUUUUAAAUUUAUAAACAAAUUUUUGUUUUACAAAACAUUAGAUAAUGGUUUUAAAAAACUAUUUUUUAUAACUGUUUUAUAAAACAGUUAUCAAACAGACCUUAAAUUUUUUACAGAAAAUAUUUUUUUGAGAAUGUGUUCUAAAAACAAGUUAUUUUUAAGAUCAAGUCUAAUAUGCUCUCAAUCGUGUUUUUGUAAAGUAUUUUAGAUAACAAUUGAAAUAUGAAAAAUAUUUCAACAAUUUUUUUAUUGCGUAUAAUUAUACAACACCCUCAUGUGGAAUAAGACCAAAAUAUCGUUUUUCAUAUUUAUGUUCCUAGAUAAAUUUUGUUCUUAAAGACAAUUUAAAAAAAAAUGAUGUCAAACAAAACCAAGAUGAAAUGACGAAAAAGCCCUUAACAAGUCACAAUAUUUUCUGGUUUCCAUGCUUUGUAUAUUUGGGCAGAAUGAGAAUGUUGAAAAGCUGCAGCCUGCAGUUGUCUCAAUGUUGCCCUAGAGUGUGCUGAAUCAGAGGUUAGAUAGAUCUUACAAAAAUGUAAUUUUUUCAUAAAUUUAGGGAGAAUUCUAUAGUACUGUGCUAGUAGGUAUUGUUGAAUUCAUACCAACCAUUGGAUGUGCAAGAUGAGAUCUUGAUUUUUAUUUAUUUAUUUAUUUUUUUACACAUGUCAAUAUCCUAUUUGAUAAUAGGUGGACGCAUGAUACCGAAAAGUUGAUUUUGGAUGCCAUAAUUUAACCCUAAAUUUAAUAAUAUAUUUUAAUGAUGUCUUCCAUGAGCUCUUGCUUUAUGUUGUUUAGAUUUUAAAAAAAAUACAAUAUAUAGUGUUGGAGUGCAUGAUUUAUAUUAUAUGCCUAGAUAUUAUGUAGGGAUGGUAACAGAGCGGGUUUGGGAUGGGUGGCUUCUGUCCCAAUCCCAUCCUUUUUUGUUCAAAAUAAUUUUUAUCUCGUCCCAUUAAAAAAAUUAAACAAGAUGUGGUGGGACGAAGUAAACCAAGUAUGAGAAUUUCCUAUAGCCAUCUCGUCUCACCUUGUUUAACUUUUAUUUUGAUUUUUUAAAAAAAAAUUAUAAUUAUACUUUAUAAAUAAUUAAAAUAUUAUAAUUUUUUAUAACUUAUUUUAUUAAAAAAUAUUUUUUAUUAUUAUUAUAUUAAAAAUAGAGAAAUAAAAAUUAAAUUAAAUUAAUUUUAUAUAUAAUCGGGGUAGGGUUGGGUGUGACAAGACAAUACUCGAACCCACCACGAAUCUGUCCUAGGUUAAAAAAAUAAAAAAUAAAAAAUCCCAAAUCUACACGUUUAUUUACAUUUCAAACUUAUCCUAUUAGGGAUGUGACAAGAUAAAUACCCGAAAAAACUUGUCUUAUUGUCAUCCCUAAUCUUAUGAGCUUAAAUAUUUAAGUAAAUUUAUCCUCCAACAUAGUAGAUGAGACAUUGUAUUCAAACCUUAUCGUAUAUUCAUUUUUCUCAAUUUGUAAGUGUAGAGAAUGUUAUUUGUAUUUUGUUUGUUUAUUGGAAUAAUGAGUAUAGAAUUGUUUUAAAAUUCCAACUUUUUAAAGGAAUAGUGAGCUUCAUUUGAGUUAUGAAACAAGAACAAGUAUGUGUAAGAGUAAAGAUCCAAGAAAUUUAUCUUUGAUAUUAAUGAAAUUAACAUAUUAAGAGUGUGUUUGAUAGUGAUUGUGAUAAGCGUUUUUAGUCUUUCUAACAAUUGAAAAUUUUUAUUUUUCAAGUAUUAGAAAUGUUGCAUUAUGACCCAUCCCUUUAGCUAAUUUAGCUCUUAAUACAGGAUCGUUCAAGUCUGGUGAGAACAUCCAUCCGGCUAGCUGAACGAGGCUGUGAACGAAUCUCUGUGGUGUAGAUGAAUAGCUAUUAAUGAUCGGGUGUUUUUGGUAAAAAGGUAUGUCAAUAAAAUAUCUAAGCAUAAUUAUUAAAAGAUAAUUUUUUUAGUGAAAUAAAUCUAAAAAUCAUUUGAGGAAAGAUAGUGAAUAGAAUUUUAAGAAUUAAUUAAGAAAAUAAAUGUAAAUUAUAAAAUGAAAUGAAAAUAGAAACAUGAUGUUAUUUAGAGUGCGUUUGGUAGUGAUUUUAGGAAGCGUUUCUAGUCUUUUUUAUACUUGAAAGAUAAAAAAUUUAAAUAUUAAAAAGACCAAAAGCACUUCAUAAAAUUAUUGUCAAACGUACUCAUAGUAAAUUUGAAAAAUCCCCAAUGGACUUUGAGAAAAACUCAAAGGGAAAUAAAAAGAAAAAAAAUAUCAAUAGUUAUUUAAAAAAAUAAAUAGAACACCUCACCUGAUGAGUAGCAUUUGUACAUGUGUAAAAAGGUCAAUUAAAUUAGUAGUUAAGAAAAUAAUAAUAAUAAAUGUAAAAGGUCAUUGGUAGAGAAAAUAAAACCUACCCUAAAUUCCCUGCUAAAUUCCAAGUAGUCAUAGUAAAUUCAUUGCAUGAAUAAGAAAAAUUGAAACAUAAAAGUUAAGCCAAUUGAAAAUAAUAAUGUCUUCAAAGGCAAACUAUUGAGAUGAAAAAGUAAUUGGGUCAUGGUUCAUUGGUAUUACUUUAGAGGCACACUAAAUUAUUCCAUUCCCUAACUCUAAAUUUUUUAGAAUGCAUAUAAUCUCAUCCUAAGCUCUUUAGAUCUAGCAUAAUGAAA
rnacentral:lncRNA from 1 species